rnacentral:rRNA from 1 species
GUGAGGAAUUUUCCGCAAUGGGCGAAAGCCUGACGGAGCAAUGCCGCGUGAAGGAUGAAGGCCUAUGGGUUGUAAACUUCUUUUCUCAGAAAAGAAUUAUGACGGUAUCUGAGGAAUAAGCAUCGGCUAACUCUGUGCCAGCAGCCGCGGUAAGACAGAGGAUGCAAGCGUUAUCCGGAAUGAUUGGGCGUAAAGCGUCUGUAGGUUGUUUAAAAAGUAUUCUGUCAAAGAUUAGGGCUUAACCCUAGAUAGGCAGAAUAAACUUUUAAGCUAGAGUUUGGUAGAGGCAGAGUGAAUUCCCGGUGGAGCGGUGAAAUGCGUAGAUAUCGGGAGGAACACCAAAGGCGAAGGCACUCUGCUGGGCCAAUACUAACACUGAGAGACGAAAGCGAGGGGAGCAAAUGGGAUUAGAAACCCCUGUAGUCC